AGGUGAUGGGCUUUUCUUUCAAUAGACUGAGCUGAGCUAAUGGUAUUUGGUGAACCUUACAACACUGUGAUAAUAUGAGGACUCAAAACGUGGCAGUGUACUGGAUCUCACUCAAACAGAACUGACAUAUGUAAGGGGUACUGAGUGGGGCUUCUGUGUUAUUUGUGGAUAAUAAGAUGUGUGUUUAUUUACAUGUGUGUUACGGGACUUUUAACUUGAUAUGGCCUCGCGGCAUCUUUCCUUUAGUUUCCUGCAAACCGCAGUUUGGAAGGGAAGUAACAAUGUGAUGAACCAGGGGGAGGCUUAUCAAUUACGUGGGGUUUAAAAAGGAAGGGAAACUCGGGUGACGGGGCGGCCGCUUUUGUCUGGGAAUUGCGAGAGUCGGGAGAGCAAGCCAGCAAAGCCAUUUGCACGUGGAUGGGUGAGAUUUGGUGGUAACAGUAAGGAUAGCCUAGGCUAGCUGUAUUUCGACUAGGCGACAGGCAACGCACUUCCCACCUGGGCCAAAACCCCAGAAGACAACGACUCAGACCUGGUCGAAACCGUGUGUGCUGAAGUGGUGCUGGCCUGCUGUAAUGCGGUAGGUGUGAGGCCCUCCACCAGUGAGCCUCUUGAUGCUCCGAACCAGUGUCCUGAACUAACAUCCGUGGACUGGAAACAAGCCCAGGUGGACGAUCAUGUGACCCGUACAGUCACAAAAGCACUUGGAAGGACACAUCUUACACCAGCAGAAAGAG
rnacentral:lncRNA from 1 species